AUCUAUCUAUUAACAAUAGAAACCGCUUCGAAGAAAACUGUAGGAGGCAAAAACACUCCGUUUUUCAAAAUCCAAACCUGUCGUUGCUUCAUACACUGUUGAGUUACACAGAUUUAGGGUUUUCAGUUCAUCUUCUCAUGCUGUAGACGCUCAAAAUGAAGAAUCUUGCCAUCCCUUUGCCCACGUCGACGGAUUCGUUCAAGAUUCGGUUUUCUCAUCUUAUUCUUCAACACGUUCCUCAAUCCCAUCGCAGCAUCACUGUAAGGUAAGAUUCUGAAUCUAUUCUUUUAAUAUUCUGAUUCUGAUUCUAUUCUUUCUUCCUCAGCACGUUCUUCUCCCUCCCAUGUUUCCAUUCCAUCGCAACAUCACCUUAUAAAUACCCAUCAAUGGUAUGCUUUCAUCAAUCGGAAUUGGAGUUUGUUGUUGUUGNNNNNNNNNNNNNNNNNNNNNNNNNNNNNNNNNNNNNUUUCUUUAUUGUGUUCUACUUCAAUUUUUAUGUUGUUCUAUUUCAAUUUUAUAUAUGCACACCACCUGUUUGAUAAAAUUUUGUUGUGAUUCUCAUCAACAUUAGAAGCUAUGGUGCAAAAAGGCAGUCCAGACUGUUGAUUUAUUUUAUAGUUACCGAACGCUGAGGUGAAUUUUGGCGUUUUUGUUAAAUUUUGUAUGAAACUUGAUUUUUUGACCUUUCGUAUUUAUUUUGUUAAUUUGUUUCAGAGGUAUAAUGUUGUGUUUGAGAGCUUUGAGUGCUUCCCGUGACCUUCUAUGUUUUGUGUUUCCUGGCAGCAAGGAGAUUUCCAGGAAGUAUGAACAUUUGCAAUGUUCUAUUUUAGUCAUUGCAUUAUAUGUGAUUGUUUUUGUUAUUAAUAGAAAGUGUUAAGUAAACAUUAUAUGGGGUGUCUUUUUGUGGCUUAUAGUUAACCGAUUGUUAUUAGUAGAGAGUGUUAAGCAACACAUUCAAUUUAUUUGUCCAUCUUUAUCAUUGAUUUCAAAAAAAUACGAAGGAGGUGGGAGGAAUGAUGACUGAAUAAUGCAGCCAGCUACCAAAACUGUAAUGCUUAUGAAGUUAAAAUUUACCCCAAAUAAAUUG
rnacentral:lncRNA from 1 species